AUUGAGCGCUGGCGGCAGGCCUAACACAUGCAAGUCGAGCGGUAACACAGGGAGCUUGCUCCUGGGUGACGAGCGGCGGACGGGUGAGUAAUGUCUGGGACACUGCCUGAUGGAGGGGGAUAACUACUGGACACGGUAGCUAAUACCGCAUAAUGUCGCAAGACCAAAGAGGGGGACCUUCGGGCCUCUUGCCAUCAGCUGUGACCAGAUGGGAUUAGCUAGUAGGUGGGGUAACGGCUCACCUAGGCGACGAUCCCUAGCUGGUCUGAGAGGGUGACCAGCCACACGUGAACUGAGACACGGUCCAGACUCCUACGGGAGGCAGCAGUGGGGAAUAUUGCACAAUGGGCGCAAGCCUGAUGCAGCCAUGCCGCGUGUAUGAAGAAGGCCUUCGGGUUGUAAAGUACUUUCAGCGGGGAGGAAGGUGUUGAGGCUAAUAACCUCAGCAAUUGACGUUACCCGCAGAAGAAGCACCGGCUAACUCCGUGCCAGCCGCCGCAGUAACAC
rnacentral:rRNA from 1 species